UUUUUGUUUUAUUUUUUUAUAGCUCUGGCGCUAUUUUCUGGGAGGUCUGUUUCCGAUUUCAAAUUGCUCAAUUUUCCAACCAAAGAACCCUUAUUUAUUCUUUAUUGCCUGCUCAUUUCAUUGGAGACUUUCGAGCAUCCAUGAUCAAUACGACCAAGUCCUUUACUUUGUUAUAUUAAGCAAAUCAUGAUGUGUCCUGAAUUGUCUCCCAUGCUGAGUAAGCUAACUUCUAACUAAUCGGCUAAUCGGAGAUAAGUACCAGAGCUAAACGUUUGUAUUUCGUAAGGCAAAAUCGAACCUGAGCUAUCCAGUCUCUGAUUUUUAGUUGAUACCACUUUUAGUGUUGGGUGCCUUUAGUUAACUUAAUUUGCUUGUGUAGCUUUGUAGUUAACUUUUCAGCUUUUGUAGCUUGCUAUAUUACAUUUUUUACAAACUAUUUUAACCCUUCUCCCUAAUUGAUCCGAGAACGUGAUUUUGGCGGCGGAAGAGUUGUUUAACAACGUUUUGUUCCUGUCUCAACAUGAAUGGCUUUGCAAUCAGUUGUAUGUUAGAUUAAGUAACAUUCUUCUAGAAACUUUUAGAACGCUUUUUUAUAUCAACUCAAAAGUUAUUCAGCUAACUUUAACAAAAUAUAACAACUGAUGUUAUUCAGGUAUCAGUUACGCUCAGAAUUCGGCGUUAUUCCGUUUAACGUCCACACUAGUCGGAUCGUUUUAAAUAUCCGUUAUUCUGCUAACGUGAUUGCGUUUGAAUCUUAUAGAUAUUCAUCUAAUUGAUGUUAUUCAGCUAACAUCAAGAAUUGCGCUUGAGUAACUUCUCAGACAACUUUGUUAUACUGUUAACAUUGUAUCGAUCACUGCUAAUUCCAUUCGCAAAUCUAGGUAACAAACGUUGUUCUGGUUGUUUUGCAGUCUUUUAAUGUUUUGUAAGGUAAGAACGGGGAGAAAGGUGAAGAAACCACAGAGUUGUCGAAUCAUUGUCAACAUUUUGACUACAGCCCAAACAGUCUUACUACUUCUAAGACGGUGCGGGCCAGUUUGUUCACUCACAUUACGUGCAACUGCUUUGGUUUCUUGUGGAAAACAAUUGGAGACUGCCGUAGUCUCGGCGAAAAUGGAUUUAUUUUCAAUCUUUGUUGAUUUUGUUGGCUUUUUCAAUUUAAUUUACAUCCUCGAUCCUGAAAUGUUUUGCCUUACGAUUGCAAUCGUUAUUUGUUGGGUUUGAUUUGUAUUUUGGAAGCUAAGCAAUCAAUAGUCAAUGUUGAAACGUAAAAGUGGUGGUUGGCAAUGAACUUAAAAAAAUAUUUGUAUAGUCUAUCGUUUGCUUAGCGUUCCAGUAUUCUGUUGGCCUUCUAUCUCAUUUUACUUUUGGUCUAACAAAGUAUCUCAUGUUGCAUGCUUUUUACUGUACAUUAUUUCCCGUUAUCCUUUUUUGAUGUACAUUGUUUUGAGGCAUGGCUAAAUUUAGUCUUGCUUCGAUUUUCUCACUUUUGCGAUUGCGACCGGCAAUUUCCUGGUCCCGAUCGCAAAAGCCACACACCAAUCCGAACGACAAUUCUGCUGGAAUGUACUUUCAUUCGGUGGGAAUUGUUGUUCGGAUUCACCCAACACCAAUCUCUUGCCCCAUGAUUUCAUGGGACAGGGCAGUACAGGAGACUGUUGCAUUGCAAAUUUUUGUACUGCAUCAGUCUUACCUGGGGCGGCAAUUCAAAGUUUUUUGGUUUGCCCUCCAGGUGUGUGUUUUGAUUGUUUUGUCGGCCUUUUCUGUUUGAUGGGGCCGAUAAAAUUAAUCCACUUUAGUAUUGGAAAUAUUCUUUGGUUUUGGAUUACUUUUUCCAUUGUCAAAUUGUAUUUUCUUUUGGGGCCUGGGUCUCCGGAAAGGGGGCUUCGAAGGACUGGAUUGGAGGAGAGGUAUGUAUUCUGCAGUUGAAAGGACGGUAUUUAUUUGGUAGCUGUAUUUUUAAAUGCAGUGAGGUAUAUUUUUCAGUUGGCACAAAAGCAGAUUUUGCAUCUAAGUGGUAUUUUACCGUUAAUUCUGUAUGUCUGUCUGUGUGGUAGAAGGCCAAAGAAACAGUCAAUGUCUUCAUGGUCGUUUUCCCUUUUUUGAGCUCAUUCUAACUGAAAAGACACGCCUUACUUUCUGACGCUGGAUUUUCCCUUAGAAUUAGUCAAUUUGUGGCAUUGGAGCAUGCGAAGCAUUGCGCCAUUGGCCGUGUGUUUGCCUGAUCUUUAACUAGCAUUUAAAUCCAUCAUUUUUCAAGUGCCGUUUGGACCUCUUUGUUCAAGAGGCACUUAAAUGAUGAACGAUUCAUGCUCAUUGAUCAGGCGAUUGGGUGUAUGGCUUGAUGAAUUUUCAUUUUGCAGAUAAAUUGCCAAAUAUAUGCAAAAACUGCGGCCGCGUCUAUUCAACGCCGUACACUUUGAUAUGGCAUUCGCGUUACGAAUGUGGGGUUGAGCGGCAGUUUAGUUGCCGGGGGUUCACGAAACGGGGAAUUGCAAUUUGGCCUUAAAAAUUGGGUUGGAUGGUUUUCUAAAUUUUUCUCACUGGGUUUGGGGACCUUUUUCUCCUCUGCCCUAUCACCUAUAUCCAUUUUCCAUUAUUCAUUGCCUUUCCACCUCAUCGAUGCAUUGAAGCUAUGGGCCAUAAGCAGAUGCCACUAGCCAUUCGGAAUGGGGGAUUGGAGAUAUCAAUUUGCUGAAUCCUUGCUGACAGGCCGGAAGGACCAUGUAUUUUGAGUUGUAUUUGAAAAAUUAAUUAUCAAUAAAAUAUUUUUCAAAAG